rnacentral:tRNA from 1 species
CUUUAUAUAGUUUAGACUAAAACAUUUUAUUUUCAUUAAAAAAAAGACUAGUUAAGUCUAUAAAUG